AUGGCUGUCGUCAGCUCGUGUCGUGAGAUGUUGGGUUAAGUCCCGCAACGAGCGCAACCCUUGUCCUAUGUUGCCAGCGGGUAAUGCCGGGGACUCGUAGGAGACUGCCGGGGUCAACUCGGAGGAAGGUGGGGAUGACGUCAAGUCAUCAUGCCCCUUACGCCCAGGGCUGCACACAUGCUACAAUGGCCGGUACAAAGGGCUGCUAUCCCGCGAGGGUGAGCGAAUCCCAAAAAGCCGGUCUCAGUUCGGAUUGCAGUCUGCAACUCGACUGCAUGAAGUCGGAGUCGCUAGUAAUCCCGGAUCAGCAACGCCGGGGUGAAUACGUUCCCGGGCCUUGUACACACCGCCCGUCACACCACGAAAGUCGGUAACACCCGAAGCCAGUGGCCCAACCGCAAGGAGGGAGCUGUCGAAGGUGGGAUCGGUGAUUGGGGUGAAGUCGUAACAAGGUAGCCGUACCGGAAGGUGCGGCUGGAUCACCUCCUUUCUAAGGAGUUAUUUGCUAGGUCAUAGUGACUUAGCCACUCCCAGUUGAUCACUAGCUAUUCGGCCCCUCUGGUUAACACUCUCUUCGCAGGACUAGUCCUCAGUAGGUGGGCGCCAGAUGGACCCAGCAACCUCUGUUCCGUUUACAAGGAGCAUCGCUCCUUGCUACAUCCGACAAUGCCGGCCUUCGGGCCGGCCGCUUGUCAUGCAACAACGGACAAUCGUCGGCCCCCAGGUCGACCUCUUGCCCGUCCGGCCUUCAUCGGCGGCGUUCGCCGCGGAUGGGUCGGUUGCCCCUUGAGAAUUCCAUAGCGAGCACGAGCAUCUUUUUUUCCAAGCUACAAAGAGCCAACGGUGGAUGCCUUGGCGCCUGAAGCCGAUGAAGGACGUGGGUGGCUGCGAUAAGCCACGGGGAGCUGCCUACCAAGCGUUGAUCCGUGGAUGUCCGAAUGGGGAAACCCGG
rnacentral:sRNA from 1 species